rnacentral:rRNA from 1 species
AUACGUAGGGUGCGAGCGUUGUCCGGAAUUACUGGGCGUAAGGAGCUCGUAGGUGGUUUGUCGCGUCGUCUGUGAAAUUCCGGGGCUUAACUCCGGGCGUGCAGGCGAUACGGGCAUAACUUGAGUACUGUAGGGGAGACUGGAAUUCCUGGUGUAGCGGUGAAAUGCGCAGAUCUCAGGAGGAACACCGGUGGCGAAGGCGGGUCUCUGGGCAGUAACUGACGCUGAGGAGCGAAAGCAUGGGUAGCGAACAGGAUUAGAUACCCUGGUAGUCCAUGCCGUAAACGGUGGGCGCUAGGUGUAGGGGUCUUCCACGACUUCUGUGCCGUAGCUAACGCGUUAAGCGCCCCGCCUGGGGAGUACGGCCGCAAGGCUAAAACUCAAAGGAAUUGACGGGG